CAGCCGCCACGGGAAUACGAAGGGUGCAAGCGUUACUCGGAAUUACUGGGCGUAAAGCGUGCGUAGGUGGUGGUUUAAGUCCGUUGUGAAAGCCCUGGGCUCAACCUGGGAAUUGCAGUGGAUACUGGGUCACUAGAGUGUGGUAGAGGAUAGUGGAAUUUCCGGUGUAGCAGUGAAAUGCGUAGAGAUCGGAAGGAACAUCUGUGGCGAAGGCGACUAUCUGGGCCAACACUGACACUGAGGCACGAAAGCGUGGGGAGCAAACAGGAUUAGAUACCCCAGUAGUCCCUGUAUCUUAUAC
rnacentral:rRNA from 1 species